GGCAAGAUGGCCGAGCGGUCUAAGGCGCCAGCUUCGGGUUAAAUCUGAUCCUGCCCGUGUGGGAACACGCGCGGGUUUGAAUCUCGUUCUUGUCA